rnacentral:tRNA from 1 species
GCGAGUAUAGCUCAGUACUAGAGCACGUGCUUAACGUGCACAAGGUCCUGGGUUCAAUUCUCAGUACCUACA